UACGAGGGGGGCAAGCGUUGUUCGGAAUUAUUGGGCGUAAAGGGUGCGUAGGCGGUCUGAUAAGUCAUCUGUGAAAUCUAUGGGCUCAACCCAUAGUCUGCAGGCGAAACUGUCGGGCUUGAGUAUGGGAGAGGUGAGUGGAAUUUCCGGUGUAGCGGUGAAAUUCGUAGAUAUCGAGAGGAACACCGGUGGCGAAAGGCGGCCAACUGGACGAAUACUGACGCUGGAGACACGAAAGCGUGGGGAGCGAACAGG
rnacentral:rRNA from 1 species